UGGGGAAUAUUGCACAAUGGGGGAAACCCUGAUGCAGCGACGCCGCGUGAGCGAAGAAGGCCUUCGGGUCGUAAAGCUCUUUUAUAUGGGAAGAUAAUGACGGUACCAUAAGAAAAAGCCCCGGCUAACUACGUGCCAGCAGCCGUGGUAAUACGUAGGGGGCUAGCGUUGUCCGGAAUCACUGGGCGUAAAGGGUUCGCAGGCGGCAAUGCAAGUCAGAUGUAAAAGGCAUAGGCUUAACCUAUGUAAGCAACUGAAACUGUAUAGCUUGAGAAGUGUAGAGGCAAGUGGAAUUUUUAGUGUAGCGGUGAAAUGCGUAGAUAUUAAAAAGAAUACCGGUGGCGAAGGCGACUUGCUGGGCACAAUCUGACGCUGAGGAACGAAAGCGUGGGGAGCAAACAGG
rnacentral:rRNA from 1 species